rnacentral:rRNA from 1 species
GGACGAACGCUGGCGGCGUGCUUAACCCAUGCAAGUCGAACGGAAAGGCCCUGCUUUUGUGGGGUGCUCGAGUGGCGAACGGGUGAGUAACACGUGAGUAACCUGCCCUUGACUUUGGGAUAACUUCAGGAAACUGGGGCUAAUACCGGAUAGGAGCUCCUGCUGCAUGGUGGGGGUUGGAAAGUUUCGGCGGUUGGGGAUGGACUCGCGGCUUAUCAGCUUGUUGGUGGGGUAGUGGCUUACCAAGGCUUUGACGGGUAGCCGGCCUGAGAGGGUGACCGGCCACAUUGGGACUGAGAUACGGCACAGACUCCUACGGGAGGCAGCAGUGGGGAAUAUUGCACAAUGGGCGGAAGCCUGAUGCAGCAACGCCGCGUGCGGGAUGACGGCCUUCGGGUUGUAAACCGCUUUCGCCUGUGACGAAGCGUGAGUGACGGUAAUGGGUAAAGAAGCACCGGCUAACUACGUG